rnacentral:rRNA from 1 species
UGGGGACUCAGAUGAGACUGCCGGUGACAAACCGGAGGAAGUGGGGAUGACGUCAAGUCAUCAUGGCCCUUACGGCCUGGGCUACACACGUGCUACAAUGGUCGGUACAAAGGGUUGCCAAGCCGCGAGGUGGAGCUAAUCCCAUAAAACCGAUCGUAGUCCGGAUCGCAGUCUGCAACUCGACUGCGUGAAGUCGGAAUCGCUAGUAAUCGUGAAUCAGAAUGUCACGGUGAAUACCGGUUCCCGGGUCCUU